rnacentral:rRNA from 1 species
UACGUAGGGCGCAAGCGUUAUCCGGAAUUAUUGGGCGUAAAGAGCUCGUAGGCGGUUUGUCGCGUCUGCCGUGAAAGUCCGGGGCUCAACUCCGGAUCUGCGGUGGGUACGGGGCAGACUAGAGUGAUGUAGGGGGAGACUGGAGUUCCUGGUGUAGCGGUGAAAAUGCGCAGAUAUCAGGAGGAACACCGAUGGCGAAGGCAGAUCUCUGGGCCGUAACUGACGCUGAGGAGCGAAAAGCGUGGGGGGAGCGAA